UACGGGGGGUGCAAGCGUUACUCGGAAUCACUGGGCGUAAAGCGCGCGUAGGCGGCCUGUUAAGUCAGAUGUGAAAGCCCCGGGCUCAACCUGGGAAUUGCAUUUGAUACUGGCGAGCUAGAGUCUGAUAGAGGGGGGUGGAAUUCCAGGUGUAGCGGUGAAAUGCGUAGAUAUCUGGAGGAACAUCAGUGGCGAAGGCGACCCCCUGGAUCAAGACUGACGCUGAGGUGCGAAAGCGUGGGGAGCAAACAGG
rnacentral:rRNA from 1 species